rnacentral:rRNA from 1 species
CCUACGGGUGGCAGCAGUGGGGAAUAUUGGGCAAUGGAGGCAACUCUGACCCAGCAACGCCGCGUGAAUGAUGAAGGUCUUCGGAUUGUAAAGUUCUUUUCUAAGGGAAGAAGAAAGUGACGGUACCUUAGGAAUAAGCCUCGGCUAACUCCUGGCCAGCAGCCGCGGUAAUACGGAGGAUCCAAGCGUUAUCCGAAUUUAUUGGUUUUAAGGGGUGCGUAGGCGGAUUGAUAGGUUAGGGGUGAACUGUCCGAGCUUAACUCGGGAACUGCCUCUAAUACUGUUGAUCUAGAGAGUAGAUGCGGUAGGAGGAAUGUAUGGUGUAGCGGUGAAAUGCUUAGAGAUCAUACAGAACACCGAUUGCGAAGGCAGCUUACCAAUCUAUAUCUGACGUUGAGGCACGAAAGCGUGGGGAGCAAACAGGAUUAGAUACCCGUGUAGUC